rnacentral:rRNA from 2 species
UCUGGAAACCAUAGAGCUGCGGCACCACCUGAUCCCAUUCCGAACUCAGAAGUGAAACACAGUAUCGCCGAUGGUAGUUUGGGGUCUCCCCAUGCGAGAGUAGGUCAUUUCCAGGC